rnacentral:lncRNA from 1 species
UCUCUUUGUUGAAUUUUAUACACCUUUUAUUUCAUCGCUAGCUACUUUUCAUUCUCUCUCUAUAUUAAUUAAAUUUUGCUCAAUAUAUAGGUAAUUGAAAACAAAACAUGGCAUGCAUGUAAAAUAAUUGGAUUCAAGCUUGUCUUCCAAUUAAGUCUUGUUCAGUCAUGAACCUUCUUUAGUACGUACGUAGAUUGAUCAUAUAUAUAUAUACGAGCCCCUUCAGAAACGGAUUAAAACAACGGAUUAGCAACGGACCAAAGCAAAAAAGAUCGCGGGUCACAAAGCAAAAAAAGGGUGGGGAAAACGCGGGUCAAAAAGAACCGGAUCAAAAACCCAUCUGCAAAAAAAAAAAACUUUCACUUUCAAAGCCCCAGAACUCCUUUCCCCGAUUUUCUCUCAAAACUAGGAUUCUCUCAAAGCCCCUUUCCAUCGCCAAUUGGGUUCCUCUUGCAGUGGCUAUUUGGGCUACUAUUCAGGUCACUUCUUGUGAUUUCCACCCUUUUCAAUUACUUGUGACCCUUUGAUUUGCAGAAUUCGGAGUUUAUUAUAAAUUAUUUGCCUUUUUUUUUUGGUUUUUUAUUUAGUUUACUUUGAUGUAAUGUUUUGUAUGAAAGUCAAUAUUACUGCUUCCAUGAGAUGUAGAUAGAAAAAAAAUGACACUGAAAGUCUUUAUUGAGUUGAAUGACAUUCUUACAUGAUAAUUACUAUUUUGUUCUAUUCGUAAUUAUUACCACAUGUGACAACAUGGUGUUUAGACAUGCUCUUCAAAUAGAAGAUUUUGGUAUAUUUCCUUGACUGGCCCAUCCAGAUUUUACCCGUGGAUUGCCAUAACUUUAUGAGAGCCACUCCAGUUGACUUGCUGAAGAACAAUUGUCCUUGGCAUUACUCUAAGCUGCGCACCAUACACAUUAUCUAUAUUGCCCAAGAUCACAAUUGUACAUGAAAAUCUGUCAUGAAUUAUGAAAUUCUCAAUGUUCUUCUAAUCGUUGUUGUCCGGAAUUAAAUGUUGUUUGUUUUUUUUAACUGUAGGGAUGGAUACUAACUUAGAGGAUGAAGUACGGGGUAGUGAUGAAUGUGGUGAUAAUGUUGACAAUAAUGAAAAGGAAGUAGAGAAUAAGAGAAUUGAAGGGGAAAGUGAUGAAGGUAGGGAAAAUUUUAUUUUAUUUAUGCAUUUUAUUUAUAAUGAACUAUUUAGUUAUUGGUUUUGGAUUAGUAUUGGUUCUCUUUCUUGAUCACUAGCUUUUGGUUUAUCUUGUAUUGUUGUUCUUUCAGGGGUGAUAAAGUCUUUUGCAGCAGUGAAUGUUGCAAAAUUUAGGUAACUCAAUUGAUAUCGGUGAAAUUGGUGAUUUUGUCUUGAUAUAUUGAUUUUGUGAUUGUAUGUUUUUUGAUCCCACAUUUGAACUAGAUAGUAAAAUAAUGAAAUAUAAUGUUCUUUGAGUUGCUUUCGUGCAUCACCUCUGAGAAGUGUCCAUACUUCAUAGAUACCAGGUUACACAUCACAUCACUGAUUUAUAUCUACUAUAUUCAGUUGCUUUCGUGCAUAUUAUCAUAACAUAUAAUGUUCUUUGAGUUUUAAUAAAUAACAUUUACGCAGAUCCCUCAGGUGUGCAAUAGGAUGACAAAGCUUGUAGAGAUUUUCUGCUUUUAUGCUGCACUCAGAAACUCCUUGCUGAUUUUUCCAUCUUCAAGACUAGUCUACUAUGGGGGCAUAGGUUAAGUGGUUGUUGUAUUUUAGUGUUCUCACAGUACUUUUUGUAUUUUCUCCCUGUUUUAUGUAGUAGUAACUUGGGAUUCUUAAACACAAUUAGUACCUAUUUGUAUUCAUCUCAAUAUAUCUGAAUGACUAGAUUAAUGGUAUCAAAUGUUUUUUUUCUGUUUGGUACAAGCUUUUUCUCAUUUACUUGUUUCCCCUUCUCAUUGUUUAAGGGGAGAAUUAAAGUUCCG